rnacentral:ncRNA from 1 species
AAUUUCUCAUAACAUCCGGUUUCCAAACGGUCCGCCAGGACCGAAUGGAUGAAAAGGGAAGCAGGUGCAAUUCCUGCGCGGUCCCGCCACUGUGAUUGAGGUUUAAAUGCCCCCCGCGGUCAAGUCGCGGCGGUACGCCACUGAGAACAGUUUCUUGGGAAGGCGGCAUUUUUGAUUCCUCUCAGCCAGGAGACCUGCCGGAUGAUAUGCCCAAGG